rnacentral:misc_RNA from 1 species
CAGGAUCAAAAAGUUGAUGUGUGCAUCUCUGGAUUAUAUGAAUUACAUCCCCAACAUGAUGCACCGUCAGCAACUCUUCUUCGUUCAUCUUAAAAAUUGCCAAUGCCACAUGAAAUAGAAGAUUUGCACCUUCAUUGAAAAGGACGUCCCAGACCCGCAAGGUUGUCUCAGAAGGCAAGCUUUUGGCGAAAAGGCAGAGAAACCAUUCGGUGCAAACAAGAGAAACGUCGAACUCCAGUGCCUCCAAAUGAGCGGCUAUCCUUGGACAUUUUUUGGUUAAUAGAUCCUUGAACACUCUUUGUUCAACAUGACAUCCAGAUAAGUUCUUAUUAUAACAGUCGGUGACUAACACAUUCUCUAGAAGGACAGCAAUCAUCCAGAAAGCCUCUUCUUCGGUUUUCAUCACCAGCAAUAAUAAUGCUGCAACAUAGUUUAAUCCCUGGCAGUAGCCAACAUCAGAAUCACGGAAA